rnacentral:siRNA from 1 species
AAAGCCCACCGUUGGGGAUGCUC